AUGCCUGAGCCCAGAGAGAGAGACAGAGAGCCUGAGGGCGUUGCGACUAAGCUGAUCAUUGACACGGAGCCUGAGCCUCGAGCACCGCCUGACCAAGUGUGUUUGCCGGCAACAUCGUCCGUUCCCGAGGGAGUUUUGGUGGAGAUCGAGGGCUUGGAGGGAAGCCCCACUCCCACCGCUCAGGGUGAGCUGCAACUGGUCACUGGACCACAUUAUGAGGAACUAAUGGACUGGUUUGGGGAGGCAUUACCCAGUUCUUCUGUGUCUCCGCUGGUUCCACCCAGCUCCUGUCUUUCAAUGUUCCCUCCUAGCCUCCCUCUCCUGCCUCCUCUUAAACCAGCCAGUUCCUCAGCCCCAUCUCCACUGGUGUCUGUCAGCCCCUCAGCUCACCUUCAACAUGCCAUGUCCAGUGGGUUGACUGUGCUUCAGGACUUCCUGUCACCAGCUACUUUGGGGUUGGAGGAUCCCCUGUCUCUGCCUCCAGCCUUCGAGACCCAGACUCCACCUUGGCCCUCCUACCCAUCAGGUCCACCUUGGCUCCUGGCUCCCUCAUCUCCACCGUUGCCCAUCAUCCCACCAGUUCCACCGGGCUCCCUCAUUCCUCCGGCUCUGCCUUGGUCAGUCAUCAACCAUCCGCCACCUCUGGACCACCUCUGGCUUCACCUCGUCACUCCACCCCUCUGGUUCUGUCAGGCUCCUCCUUCCCUCUGGCUCCGCCUCCAUCCUAAGUUGCUCCAGUGGUUUUCCAGAGCCCCGCCUCCGCCAUGGUUGCCUAAGCCUUCAGCUCCACCCUCCAGAUCCUCUGUGUCACCCUGGCUCUCAGUCUGCUCAGGCUCCAUCCUGGGCUCCUCAUCCAUCGGCUCAGUCUCUCAGUCAGCCCCCUGGUGUUGUCGGCCCCUUCACCAUGGCUCCUCCCGCCGUCGACUCAACCAUGGGCCGCUAUCCUGGCUGGCCUCUGGAGUUCCAUCUGACUCCUCCUGCUCUGGGCUCCUUCCUGGCUCCUCCCUCCAUCCACUCUGA
rnacentral:lncRNA from 12 species